GAGGAAUAUUGGUCAAUGGGCGCGAGCCUGAACCAGCCAAGUGCCGUGAAGGAUGACUGCCUUAUGGGUUGUAACCUUCUUUUUUAAGGGAAUAAGGUAAGGCCGUUGUGCCUUAUUGUAUGUCCUUUAGGAUUAGGCAUGGGCUAACUCCUUGCCAGCAGCCGCGGUAAUACGGAGGAUGCAAGCGUUAUCCGGAUUUAUUGGGUUUAAAGGGAGCGUAGGCGGACUAUUAAGUCAGCUGUGAAAGUUUACGGCUCAACCGUGAAAUUGCAGUUGAAACUGGUCGUCUUGAGUGCAGUAAAGGUGGGCGGAAUUCGUGGUGUAGCGGUGAAAUGCUUAGAUAUCACGAAGAACUCCAAUUGCGAAGGCAGCUCACUGGAGUGUAACUGACGCUGAUGCUCGAAAGUGUGGGUAUCAAACA
rnacentral:rRNA from 1 species